UGCCCUUUGUACACACCGCCCGUCGCUACUACCGAUUGAAUGGCUCAGUGAGGCUUCCGGACUGGCCCGGAAUGGGGGGCGACCCCCGUCCUGGGCCGGAAAGUUAUCCGAACUCGGUCAUUUAGAGGAAGUAAAAGUCGUAACAAGGUCUCCGUUGGUGAACCAGCGGAGGGAUCAUUACUGAGUACUACACUCUCUACCCUUUGUGAACUAUUAUACCUGUUGCUUCGGCGGCGCCCGCGAGGGUGCCCGCCGGUCUCAUCAGAAUCUCUGUUUUCGAACCCGACGAUACUUCUGAGUGUUCUUAGCGAACUGUCAAAACUUUUAACAACGGAUCUCUUGGCUCCAGCAUCGAUGAAGAACGCAGCGAAACGCGAUAUGUAAUGUGAAUUGCAGAAUUCAGUGAAUCAUCGAAUCUUUGAACGCACAUGGCGCCUUCCAGUAUCCUGGGAGGCAUGCCUGUCCGAGCGUCGUUUCAACCCUCGAGCCCCCGUGGCCCGGCGUUGGGGAUCUGCCACGGCAGGCCCCUAAAACCAGUGGCGGACCCGAAGGCCCUCUCCUUUGCGCAGUAGCAUCAGCCUCGCAUUGGGAUCCCUCGGCGUCCUGCCUCUAAACCCCCCACAAGUCCGCUCCGGCGGCACCAAGGUUGACCUCGGAUCAGGUA
rnacentral:rRNA from 1 species